rnacentral:rRNA from 1 species
UGGGGAAUAUUGCACAAUGGGCGCAAGCCUGAUGCAGCCAUGCCGCGUGUGUGAAGAAGGCCUUCGGGUUGUAAAGCACUUUCAGCGAGGAGGAAGGUGGUGAGCUUAAUACGCUCAUCAAUUGACGUUACUCGCAGAAGAAGCACCGGCUAACUCCGUGCCAGCAGCCGCGGUAAUACGGAGGGUGCAAGCGUUAAUCGGAAUUACUGGGCGUAAAGCGCACGCAGGCGGUUUGUUAAGUCAGAUGUGAAAUCCCCGGGCUCAACCUGGGAACUGCAUUUGAAACUGGCAAGCUAGAGUCUCGUAGAGGGGGGUAGAAUUCCAGGUGUAGCGGUGAAAUGCGUAGAGAUCUGGAGGAAUACCGGUGGCGAAGGCGGCCCCCUGGACGAAGACUGACGCUCAGGUGCGAAAGCGUGGGAAGCAAACAGGAUUAGAUACCCUGGUAGUCCACGCUGUAAACGAUGUCGAUUUUGGAGGUUGUGCCCUUGAGGCGUGGCUUCCGGAGCUAACGCGUUAAAUCGACCGCCUGGGGAGUACGGCCGCAAGGUU